rnacentral:rRNA from 1 species
AUCAACGCUGGCGGCGUGCCUCAGACAUGCAAGUCGAGCGAUUAAACUUUCCUUCGGGAGAGAUAUAAAGUGGCGCACGGGUGAGUAACACGUAGGUAAUCUACCUUUGAGUGGGGAAUAACAGUCGGAAACGACUGCUAAUACCGCAUAAUGCAGCGGCACCGCAAGGUGACAGUUGUUAAAGGAGCAAUCCGCUUAAAGAGGAGCCUGCGGCAGAUUAGCUAGUUGGUAAGGUAAUGGCUUACCAAGGCUACGAUCUGUAACCGACCUGAGAGGGUGGUCGGUCACACUGACACUGAAUAACGGGUCAGACUCCUACGGGAGGCAGCAGUCGGGAAUUUUGGGCAAUGGGCGAAAGCCUGACCCAGCAACGCCGCGUGAAGGAGGAAGUCUUUCGGGAUGUAAACUUCGUAAGAAUAGGAAGAAUAAAUGACGGUACUAUUUGUAAGGUCCGGCUAACUACGU